rnacentral:lncRNA from 1 species
UUUUUAAGCUAAUGGGCACCGACUGCCACAGGACAGUUCUUCCAAUGAAUGGUUUCUCUCUACAAGGGUCAGUACAUGGGACACAGUGACGGUCAUCUGAGGAUACCUUUCAGAGAGGAAGUGCGAAAGCUCUGGGAUAGUUAACUUUAGGGUUCUCAUCAGGUAGCUUCAAAGUGAUCAAUGUAUAGCUACAUGUUCUUUAUACUACUUUUGAUUUUCACAACUCUGUUGGUGCCUGCAGAUACCUAAGGCACACAGGGUUUAAGUGGCUUGCUCAAGACCACAGGGCUAGUAAAUUAUGGCAUUGAUACUCAAACUCUGCAGGUUACAGAAUUCUAUACAUUUUCCUUUCAUUUCCCAACUUUGAAGGGCUUUCAUCUUUUAGAAUCAAGGAGGUAUAAUUACAGGUAGAAAAAACCUUAUGGACAACCCAAGCUAACCCUCCCAUUUCUCAAAUGUGCUCAGCUGAGGUCUAGAGAAGGAAAAAAGAAAAAUCCAUCACUCCAGUGUGCAACAAAGCCAAGAGUUCAGAUCCUGAUCUGGAUGCUGUAUUCAAAUUACGCUACAGGAAGUGUCGUCCUACUCAGUUUUCAAAGGCCAGAUCAUGUGACUGAAGUACUCCCAUUAUGAACAGCCAUGUCCCAUGGGCUCCAGGGCAGGCAUCUACACAUUCUCCAAGGAGGCUAACUUCCAAUGACUGAUCAAGCAACCAGCAGCAGGUGACAGGCUCUGCAUGAGAUCAAGUGUCACAGGAGGCAGUGGAAAUGUGGUUAAAGUUGUGAAGAUUUUAAAAGAAAGAGUUUUUAAGGAAAACAUGGACAACCUUCACUGUACGCAAUAAAGAGACCAUAUCAUUGCCAUCUAUGCAACACCUGCAGAAAUUUAAAGAGGGGCAGCGAGGAGGGGAACUACCACCUUUAUCUUUGUUCUAAGACAAAGUGUUCUCCUGCUUCAGAUCUCCAGAAGCACCUUGAGAAUCCCGUCCUGAGCUCACCUGAUCAAGAAACCAAGAACAGAACACAAAUCCAAGACUUACACCUCCAAGUCCUAUUGCAGCAUUCAAAAGAGUUCUUCACAGAAGGAAGGGAGAGGAGGCAGGCAAGUAUCAGAUUUCCUGUACUGUUUUCAAAAUACAGAUGACCCUGGAACAAUAUGGGUUUGAACUGUGUGGGUGCACUUAAUAUGGGAUUUUAGACCAACCCCUCCCUCUUCCUCUGCCUACUCAACAUAAACAUGACAAGGGGGAAGGAUCCUUAUGAUGAUCCACUUCCACUUAAUGAACAGUAAAUAUAUUUUGUCUACCUUA